ACGCUCGACACCUACAGGAGGCAGCAGUGGGGAAUAUUGCACAAUGGGGGAAACCCUGAUGCAGCGACGCCGCGUGAGUGAAGAAGUAUUUCGGUAUGUAAAGCUCUAUCAGCAGGGAAGAAGAUGACGGUACCUGAGUAAGAAGCCCCGGCUAACUACGUGCCAGNNGCGNGUAUNGNGGCGGNGNGAGAG
rnacentral:rRNA from 1 species